GGCGGCAGAAAAACGGCGGCCGUGAAAAAUGGGGAAGAGCGGGAAGAAGAAAAGUCACCAACAGAACCGUAGAGAUAGAGCUUACUAUCUAGAACAGGAAGAACCAGAAUACCCAGUUGCCCCAACUGUUGAGUCCACUCAAGAAGAUGAAGAAGAUGAAGAAGAGAGUCAAGAUGAUCUUAUUUCUUCAUUUUCAACCAAUGAUAUCCCUUCAAAGUUUUCAUUAUACCAACAGUCUGUGCAGUCACCAAAAGGGGAUAUAAGUUAUCUGCAGAAAUUCUUCUUGAUGUACGUAGGUGGGAGGG
rnacentral:misc_RNA from 1 species